AGUGAACGCUGGCGGUAGGCCUAACACAUGCAAGUCGAACGGCAGCACAGUAAGAGCUUGCUCUUACGGGUGGCGAGUGGCGGACGGGUGAGGAAUACAUCGGAAUCUACUUUUUCGUGGGGGAUAACGUAGGGAAACUUACGCUAAUACCGCAUACGACCUACGGGUGAAAGCAGGGGAUCUUCGGACCUUGCGCGAUUGAAUGAGCCGAUGUCGGAUUAGCUAGUUGGCGGGGUAAAGGCCCACCAAGGCGACGAUCCGUAGCUGGUCUGAGAGGAUGAUCCGCCACACUGGAACUGAGACACGGUCCAGACUCCUACGGGAGGCAGCAGUGGGGAAUAUUGGACAAUGGGCGCAAGCCUGAUCCAGCCAUACCGCGUUGGUGAAGAAGGCCUUCGGGUUGUAAAGCCCUUUUGUUGGGAAAGAAAAGCAGCAGGUUAAUACCCCGCUGUUCUGACGGUACCCAAAGAAUAAGCACCGGCUAACUUCGUG
rnacentral:rRNA from 1 species